CUUCUCUCUUUUCUUAUUUUGGUGUUGAAUCUAUCUCCUCCAAUGUGGUCUCCCCCCAUCUUUCUCUCUCCAUCCUUCCUCUGGCCUCGAGGAUGUUUCUUUCCUCUUUCUUUCUUCAUCCUCCUGUGUUCCCGAGAUAGAAAAGUGGCUUCUCCUUUCCUCCUUUCUCUUUUCUUUCCCAGUCUUGGACGGUCGAUGAGUCUCUUUUCUUCCUUUUUUUUCUCGACGGCAUCUAGGUCUUAUAGGUGAGGUUGACGCAGGCCGACCGGUUGCUUCUUUCUCUUUUUACGUUCUCCUUUAGUGGUGGCAAGAUGGAAGCUUCUCAGUUUUGAAGUUUAAAUUUCAAAAGACCUUGUUUGUUCGUUUGGGGGA
rnacentral:lncRNA from 1 species